rnacentral:rRNA from 1 species
GGAAUAUUGGACAAUGGGUGAAAGCCUGAUCCAGCCAUCCCGCGUGAAGGAUGACGGUCCUAUGGAUUGUAAACUUCUUUUGUAUAGGGAUAAACCUAGAUACGUGUAUCUAGCUGAAGGUACUAUACGAAUAAGCACCGGCUAACUCCGUGCCAGCAGCCGCGGUAAUACGGAGGGUGCAAGCGUUAUCCGGAUUUAUUGGGUUUAAAGGGUCCGUAGGCGGACCGAUAAGUCAGUGGUGAAAUCUCAUAGCUCAACUAUGAAACUGCCAUUGAUACUGUCGGUCUUGAGUAAAUUUGAAGUGGCUGGAAUAAGUAGUGUAGCGGUGAAAUGCAUAGAUAUUACUUAGAACACCAAUUGCGAAGGCAGGUCACUAAGAUUUAACUGACGCUGAGGGACGAAAGCGUGGGUAGCGAACAGGAUUAGAUACCCGUG